GAUUGAUUAAAACCAUUUCAUGACUUUCUGUUGUUAUGCAACAUCUGAAUGCCAUUCUCCUUGGAUGGGGAACUGUCAUCAUGAAUGGUCGAGGAGGUAGUGUCCACAUUUCACCGAGGAAGCCAAAGUGGCCAGGCUGUGGGCAUGCUACUCAGGCAAAGCCAAAUCAGGAAAGAUCUCCCAGGAAUUUGGAUCCUGAACAAAGGCAGCGGUGCUGUGGAGGUGUCUGGAAGCCCUGGUCCCUGCAGUGGCUGCUCUGUGAGCUGACAUAGAACUCCGAUAGUUGGGAGAAGAGAUGAAGAUCCAGGCACAUAUUUUGAUUUACCCUGUAAUGAAUGGGUUCUUGUGUUAGGAGGACUUCAUGCCAUUCUCUGGUCCAAUCAGAACCAGAACUCCAGGGAACCCAGCAGUAGUCAUGUAACAGCUUCUGUCAUAUUCCUUAAGUGUAAACUCCUUCUAUGUCUCCCUCUCCUCCCAUCUCCAUCUGCUAGUUUUGAUUUCUGGCCAACCCUGAGAUAUAAAGUAACUGCCAGUUCCCUUGGUAAGAUCAUACCUUCAGUACAGAAACAAAGUGGGAAUUUCUGAGAUGCAUGUUCUGGCUCAAAUGGUGCUAUUUUCUGGUAAGAAUUAAUUUUGCAUUCAAAAUAUGGAGCUAAUGUGUAUGUUCUUUAUGAGGUGAAGGAAUGCAAAUCAUUCAUAUGGGUUAUUCACUAGGAAUGCACUCAUUCUGUAGCAUCUAUCUCUCAUUUACCUAAUUUAUUUUUCUAGCCAUUCAGUUUGUGUAUUAACCUUCAAUGUCUAAGUGCUCUGCUAGACAUUAGAGUUAUAAAAUAAAUAACACUGUCCUUUAAGUACACAAUUUUUAACUUUAUUUCUGAAACCUUCACUAGUGACUUGUCUGACUUUGGGAAGUCACUGGUGGAUCUCAGUUGCCUACCAUAAACUGAGUGGCUCAUAUUAAGUGAUCGUAUAAUUUGAAACCCUCUAAAAUCAAAGGA